GGGUCAGUAGGUUGGUCGUGCCACCGGUACGUACUGGUCUCACUGAUUCCUCCUUCCUGAAGAACCGUAAUGCCAUUAAUUUGGUGUUGCGGGGAAACAGGACUGUUACUUUGAAAAAAUUAGAGUGUUUAAAGCACGCUAACGCUUGAAUACAUUAGCAUGGAAUAAUGAAAUAGGACGAUCGAUCCUAUUUUGUUGGUUUCUAGGAUUGACGUA
rnacentral:rRNA from 1 species